rnacentral:rRNA from 1 species
UACGGAGGGGGCUAGCGUUGUUCGGAAUUACUGGGCGUAAAGCGCGCGUAGGCGGCUUGACAAGUUGGAGGUGAAAGCCCGGAGCUCAACUUCGGAAUUGCCUUCAAGACUGUCUCGCUCGAGGCAGGGAGAGGAGAGCGGAAUACCCAGUGUAGAGGUGAAAUUCGUAGAUAUUAGGAAGAACACCAGUGGCGAAGGCGGCUCACUGGCCCGGUACUGACGCUGAGGCGCGAAAGCGUGGGGAGCAAACAGG